GGGUGAGUAACACGUGGGCAACCUGCCCCUAGCACUGGGAUAACUCCGGGAAACCGGGGCUAAUACCGGAUAUGACCUUGGAAGGCAUCUUCCUUGGUGUAAAGGAUUCUGGCUAGGGAUGGGCCCGCGGCCUAUCAGCUUGUUGGUGGGGUAACGGCCUACCAAGGCGACGACGGGUAGCCGGCCUGAGAGGGCGACCGGCCACACUGGGACUGAGACACGGCCCAGACUCCUACGGGAGGCAGCAGUGGGGAAUAUUGCACAAUGGGCGAAAGCCUGAUGCAGCGACGCCGCGUGAGGGAUGACGGCCUUCGGGUUGUAAACCUCUUUCAGCAGGGACGAAGCGAAAGUGACGGUACCUGCAGAAGAAGCACCGGCCAACUACGUGCCAGCAGCCGCGGUAAUACGUAGGGUGCAAGCGUUGUCCGGAAUUAUUGGGCGUAAAGAGCUCGUAGGCGGUUUGUCGCGUCGGCUGUGAAAUCGUGGGGCUCAACCCCGCGCCUGCAGCCGAUACGGGCAAACUAGAAUUCGGUAGGGGAGACUGGAAUUCCUGGUGUAGCGGUGAAAUGCGCAGAUAUCAGGAGGAACACCGGUGGCGAAGGCGGGUCUCUGGGCCGAUAUUGACGCUGAGAG
rnacentral:rRNA from 1 species